GCGCCACGCUCCAUGGAGGCGCCAAGGAGAAGGCCUGGGAAGGGAAGAGUGAACCUUCCCUGGUGGAGGGCCCACUCCUCAGGCAGUGGGGAGACCGCCUUUUGCAUGCGACAGGACUUACCAGUUACUAUUGGCACCGGAACCACCAUCUGAGAUACAGGAGAAGACAGAAAUGGAAGCAAAGGAAGAUGGAAAAAUAGAAAACAGAGACCCCCAAGAGGUUGAACAGCUUGCCGAGAAUCAUGACCAGUUGGGAGGCCAGUUCUGACACCAGAGGUCCUGACGGCCAGGCCAGCACUGUUUUCUGUAGACAUGGUAUCUUCUAAAAGGCAUUUAUCAUUUUUUUUCCUUUCAGAAUUAAAUGAAGACUAAACUCCUGUACACGUGUUUGUUGGUAGAGGCCAUCACAGAAUAUGGCCACCAUACUGUGAUCUGCCAACCCAAUUAAGAUACUGGCCAUGGCUUCUAAUUUGUGUUUUACACUGUUCAGACAUAAAUAUUUAAAAUUUGUUGCAUUGCAAUCUGUUUGGUUGUAAAGAUUUGACCUAUGAAGCAAGAAGUGUUCAUGAAUGAGGUUUAAGGAUGUCAGGGGUGACUCAGAAGGAAACGCGCUAGAACAGCAAGGAUCAGGGAAGCAGCGCUUUUCUCUUUGCAAGUCAUAAAAUACAAUGCCUGAAAGAGCUAAUAAGCCUUGUUAUCUAAUCAUGUCUAAUAAUAUGCAUGUGGCCUUCUGGAAUUAAGAGGCAGGGCACACACCCUGGAUAAUCCAGUAACAAGCCAUUUUAUAAAUGUGGUUGAAAACACAGUCCUAGCUGCCCAGCACCUGGCCCUGGAUUACUGUGGAAAAUUUGCAGGAGUCCUGUUACCAUCCCAGGAACUCUGGUUAUCAGGAAGGCCCAGGAAACUUCAGGGAACACUUGCUUUUAAAGAUAAGGCAGCAGCUCCUUUUCUCUGCUUAAUAACUUGCUUUACUGAAUCUCAUUCUUUGCACUUAACUUGCACAGGACCUGCUGCAUAGCAGGGAAGUCCUUGGAUGGCUGAAAUCUUCUUCCAGCCAGGUGGGUUGUCAGGCACCCUGGACCAGAGCAGCAGCUCCUCCAGACCCAGCUCCCUUGGUGCCUGGCCUGCAGGAGCCACUGGGUCAGCACUAACUAGCAGAUGUUGCCUGCUGCCCUGGGUCCUUUGGUGCUCUCGUGUGGACCUGCAAGGAACUGUCAACCCCAUGUUAAGAUGACAGAAGUGCCCGUCAGAGGGCUGACAAGGGAGGCCCGGAGGUUCCCAGGCUGGUCUCCAGCAGAUCUGCCUCUGGAUCCAGUGAUCUGUCAGCUAUUAGAUAGCAGCUGUGUAUGCAGACUUGAGCCAGCACAGGGAGAGCAAAACACUGAGGGCCAUCAGCAAAGGAGUGAGGCACAGUGACAAUCAACCUAUGCUAAUGAAAGACUGGGGAAGAGAACACUCAGAACCUGAAGCUAGUAAUUUAACAAAUAGGGAAUCUAAAAACCUGAAUUUGAAGAUUUGCAUUGUUAUCAGAAGACCACAGCUGCUGGAAACAAAAACCAGAAUUUUAAAUACCUCCCCAGCAUCAAACACGUGAGGCUUAGAAAAUCAAAUGGUUUACAGUCACGCAUUGCUUAAUGUCAGGGGUACAUUCUGAGAAAUGCAUCAUUAGGUGAUUUCGUGGUUGUGCAAGCAUCAUAGAGUACAUACACAAACCUCGAUGGCACGGCCUACUGCGUAACUAUGCUGUAGAGUACAGCCUGUUGCUUCUGGGCUACAAACCUGGACAGCAUGUGACUAUACUGAAUACUGGAGGCAACUGUGACACAAUAAUAAUCAUUUGUGUAUCUAAACAUAGAAAAGAUAUGGUAAAAAUACCAUAUUAUAAUCUUAUGGAUUAAUGUAUAUAUGAGGUCUGUCAUUGACCAAAAUGUCGUGAUGUGGCACACGAUUGUAUUAAAAAGACAGACAGAGGCUGGUACUUUGGAUCCUAGAAAAUACUCAUUACUCUAGCACUAAAUUAUUUCUAGAGUUCUGUGCAGGUUCAAAUUGUACAAAAAUGUGCAAUAAAAUAUUUAUGCUAA
rnacentral:lncRNA from 10 species